UACAGAGGGGCAAGCGUUGUUCGGAAUUACUGGGCGUAAAGGGCGCGUAGGCGGCCUUCUAAGUCAGACGUGAAAUCCCUCGGCUCAACCGGGAACUGCGUCUGAGACUGGAAGGCUUGAAUCCGGAGAGGGAUGGUGGAAUUCCAGGUGAUAGCGGUGAAAUGACGUAGAUAUCUGGAGGAACACCGGUGGCGAAGGCGGCGAUCCUGGACCGGUAUGACGCUGAGGCGCGAAAGCCAGGGAGCAACGGG
rnacentral:rRNA from 1 species